AGGAGGGAGGUGCGGGGAGGAGGAUGGAGCGAGGAGGAGGAAAUAAAUAAAUAAAACAAUCACCUCCGCGCCAAUAAGAGCGAGGGAGAGAGAAAGACGCGGCCAGAGAGCCCCCGGUGCCUGUUGGCUCGCCUCUGAGAGGUUCUCCUUGCGCGCGCGUGUGUGUGCGUGAGUGUGUAUUUGCUGGGACUGGAGCUGGAAAGUUCAAACUAAACGUGUUGCUCUCGCCGGCUCCCGAGGCCGCGGCGGAGGCUGCCCAACUUCUCCGGGCCAAGCGACCGGCGGGUGCCCAGCGCCCUUGGCGCGGCGGCUGUGGCCGCUCGGCCCUGCGCCCAGGCGCGGCGGCGGCGGCUCCGCUCAGCCCGGGAGGGAGCCCGCGGCCAGGCUGGACUCUCGCCCCGCCACCUCCAGCGACGCUCUCCACUCCGCCUCCGCGCCUGGCGACCGCAGAAAGACCUGAAUGCAGCGAUCAUGUAAAUUAGACAAAGGAGAUAAAAGUAACCUCUGGAUAUUCUUCUUGUGCAAUAUUUAUUCUGGAUGAAGCAUUAAGAUCACUAAGAGAGGUGUAUCACUGCAAUUUGCUGCCAGAGGUGUGUUUUUCUUCCAAAAGGCAAUAAGUUCAAGCUCUUCUGGUGGAUAUAGAUUUUUGCUGCAAGGAAGUAACAGCCAAGAGCUGCUUCCUAAGGAGAGCUGCCUCCUAAAAGCCUAAGUGGCCACGAUUCUCCAACUUGGCAGAGCCAGGGGGUCUGGGCACAGUGCACUGAGCUCGUGGACAGCUGGCCUACCUGGAGGUCGGGAACAGCUUCCCGGGAAGAUGCAGCAAUGGUAGAAAGAUGGCUCUGCUGAGAUGAGCUCUUAAUUAAUGCACUGAGAGCUUAUGAGUCCCACCUCUCAACAGGAAUGAUUGACGUCCAAGGAUACAUAAAUUACACUAAUUGAGCCCUGCCUCUAUGUAGGCUCUCCACAGCCAACUCAUCAGAGAAGCUAGGUCUUUGAUAUCGUAGGAGAUCUUUCUCCCUCCCCCCACCCCUCACGUCUGGCUAUUCUCCAAAAAUUACUUGUCAGUGGAAAUUUGCUCACACAGUGAAAUAAAAACCCUAAGCUGAUAAAGGAAAAGGGAGAAAUCACUUGCCAAGCUGAAUGCCUUAAUAUGAUGCUAUGAGUCAAGAGAUCCAGGUUUGUGUCUUGACUAUCCUACUUAAUGGAUGAGAAGUACAUCUGACACUUGCAGAAUGUUCUUUGAGGAGAGGCAGUCAUUUUCAAUGCACUUAUAAAUGUCUUAAUGAGAAUGCUGAGUCGUUGUUUCCCAUUUCUCCAGAAAACUCAAAAAAGACUUAAAUGAGAUCAAAAGAGAGUGCUGAUUGACUAAAGAGAGAUGCCCAACUCAUUGGACUAAAUCCAUAAAGAAGAGUUGUGCUGCCACUUCAAAUGCCUUGUUUUCCUGGCCUGUCAGUCACAAACCAUUUUAAAUAUGGGCCUAAUCACCAGUAUUCCAGGGGGCUUCCCAAGUAAGGGAGUCGGGAGGCAGGAAGGCUCGGAUUCACAGCAAGUGUGUAUCUGGACUCAUAGGCGCCAACUGGCAUACAAGCAGCCUCCAGCUG
rnacentral:lncRNA from 1 species